rnacentral:rRNA from 1 species
AUUGAACGCUGGCGGCAGGCCUAACACAUGCAAGUCGAACGGCAGCACAGAAGAGCUUGCUCUUUGGGUGGCGAGUGGCGGACGGGUGAGUAAUGUCUGGGAAACUGCCCGAUGGAGGGGGAUAACUACUGGAAACGGUAGCUAAUACCGCAUAACGUCGCGAGACCAAAGUGGGGGACCUUCGGGGCUCACACCAUCGGAUGUGCCCAGAUGGGAUUAGCUAGUAGGUGGGGUAAUGGCUCACCUAGGCGACGAUCCCUAGCUGGUCUGAGAGGAUGACCAGCUACACUGGAGCUGAGACACGGUCCAGACUCCUACGGGAGGCAGCAGUGGGGAAUAUUGCACAAUGGGCGCAAGCCUGAUGCAGCCAUGCCGCGUGUAUGAAGAAGGCCUUCGGGUUGUAAAGUACUUUCAGCGGGGAGGAAGGCGGUGAGGUUAAUAACCUUGCCGAUUGACGUUACCCGCGGAAGAAGCACCGGCUAACUCCGUGCCAGCCGCCGCAGUAA